rnacentral:rRNA from 1 species
AUUGAACGCUGGCGGAAUGCUUUACACAUGCAAGUCGAACGGCAGCACGGGAGCAAUCCUGGUGGCGAGUGGCGAACGGGUGAGUAAUAUAUCGGAACGUGCCCAGUCGUGGGGGAUAACGCAGCGAAAGCUGUGCUAAUACCGCAUACGAUCUACGGAUGAAAGCGGGGGAUCGCAAGACCUCGCGCGAUUGGAGCGGCCGAUAUCAGAUUAGCUAGUUGGUGAGGUAAAGGCUCACCAAGGCGACGAUCUGUAGCUGGUCUGAGAGGACGACCAGCCACACUGGAACUGAGACACGGUCCAGACUCCUACGGGAGGCAGCAGUGGGGAAUUUUGGACAAUGGGCGAAAGCCUGAUCCAGCAAUGCCGCGCGCAGGAUGAAGGCCUUCGGGUUGUAAACUGCUUUUGUACGGAACGAAACGGUGAGCUCUAAUACAGUUUGCUAAUGACGGUACCGUAAGAAUAAGCACCGGCUAACUACGUGCCAGCAGCCGCGGUAA